AUUGAACGCUGGCGGCAGGCUUAACACAUGCAAGUCGAGCGGAGACUUCGGUCUUAGCGGCGAACGGGUGAGUAAUACCUAGGAAUCUGCCUAUUAGUGGGGGAUAACGAAUCGAAAGGUUCGCUAAUACCGCAUACGUCCUACGGGAGAAAGGGGGGGAGUCUUCGGACCUCUCGCUAAUAGAUGAGCCUAGGCCGGAUUAGCUAGUUGGUAGGGUAAAGGCCUACCAAGGCGACGAUCUGUAGCUGGUCUGAGAGGAUGGCCAGCCACACUGGAACUGAGACACGGUCCAGACUCCUACGGGAGGCAGCAGUGGGGAAUAUUGGACAAUGGGGGCAACCCUGAUCCAGCCAUGCCGCGUGUGUGAAGAAGGCCU
rnacentral:rRNA from 1 species